rnacentral:rRNA from 1 species
GUCUACAGCCAUACCACCCUGAACACGCCUGAUCUCAUCUGAUGUCGGAAGCUAAGCAGGGUUGGGCCUGAUUAGUACCUGGAUGGGAGACCACCUGGGAAUACUGGGUGCUGUAGGCU